UACGUAGGGUGCAAGCGUUGUCCGGAAUUAUUGGGCGUAAAGAGCUCGUAGGCGGUCUGUUGCGUCGGCUGUGAAAACCCGGGGCUCAACCCCGGGCCUGCAGCCGAUACGGGCGGACUUGAGUGUUGCAGGGGAGACUGGAAUUCCUGGUGUAGCGGUGGAAUGCGCAGAUAUCAGGAGGAACACCGAUGGCGAAGGCAGUUCUCUGGGCCGUAACUGACGCUGAGGAGCGAAAGCGUGGGGAGCGAACAGG
rnacentral:rRNA from 1 species